CGGCGGCAGCUUAACACAUGCAGUCGAACGGUAGCAGGAGAAAGCUUGCUUUCUUGCUGACGAGUGGCGGACGGGUGAGUAAUGCUUGGGAAUCUGGCUUAUGGAGGGGGAUAACUACUGGAAACGGUAGCUAAUACCGCGUAAUAUCGGAAGAUUAAAGGGUGGGACCUUUGGGCCACCUGCCAUAAGAUGAGCCCAAGUGGGAUUAGGUAGUUGGUGGGGUAAAGGCCUACCAAGCCUGCGAUCUCUAGCUGGUCUGAGAGGAUGGCCAGCCACACUGGAACUGAGACACGGUCCAGACUCCUACGGGAGGCAGCAGUGGGGAAUAUUGCACAAUGGGGGAAACCCUGAUGCAGCCAUGCCGCGUGAAUGAAGAAGGCCUUCGGGUUGUAAAGUUCUUUCGGUGAUGAGGAAGGUGUUUUGUUUAAUAGACAAGGCAGUCGACGUUAGUCACAGAAGAAGCACCGGCUAACUCCGUGCCAGCAGCCGCGGUAAU
rnacentral:rRNA from 1 species